rnacentral:rRNA from 1 species
UACGGGGGGGAGCAAGCGUUGUUCGGAUUUACUGGGCGUAAAGGGCGCGUAGGCGGUUUUGUAAGUUUGUCGUGAAAGCCCCGGGCUCAACCUGGGAAUUGCGAUGAAGACUGCAAGGCUUGAAUCUGGCAGAGGGGGGUAGAAUUCCACGUGUAGCAGUGAAAUGCGUAGAGAUGUGGAGGAACACCGAUGGCGAAGGCAGCCCCCUGGGUCAAGAUUGACGCUCAUGCACGAAAGCGUGGGGAGCAAACAGG